rnacentral:rRNA from 1 species
GACGCUGGCGGCGUGCCUAACACAUGCAAGUCAACUUGACUGAAGGAGCAAUCUGACAGUAGAGUGGCGCAAGGGUGCGUAACGCGUAAGUAACUUGCCCCAAGGUAAGGAAUAACGUCGAGAAAUCGGCGCUAAUACCUCAUAAUGCAGCGGAUCCGCAUGGAUAUGUUGUUAAAGGUUUACCGCCUUGGGAUAGGCUUGCGUCUGAUUAGUUAGUUGGUGUGGUAACGGCACACCAAGGCUACGAUCAGUAACUGGUCUGAGAGGAUGAUCAGUCACACUGGAACUGAGACACGGUCCAGACUCCUACGGGAGGCAGCAGUGAGGAAUAUUGGGCAAUGCUCGAAAGAGUGACCCAGCAACGCCGCGUGGAGGAUGAAGGUAUUCUAUAUCGUAAACUCCUGUGAGAGCAGACGAAAGACAGAUUAUUAAUCUGGAUGACUGUAUGCUCAGAGGAAGCCCCGGCUAACUACGUG